CUGACAUCGUAGGAGAACCAUUCUUUCAUCAGAUUGGUUUUCCGCCUGAACCUUGCAUCGUUGAAGAACCAUUCUUUCAGCAGAAUGGGCUUUGCGCCUAAACCUUACAUCGUUGGAGAACCAUUCUUUUAUCAGAUUAGAUUUUGCUUGUGAACCUAAUAUCGUAGAAGGACCAUUCUUUCAUCAGAAUGUGUUUUGCACAUGAAUCCGACAUUGUACGAGAACCAUUCUUUUAUCAGAUUGGGUUUUGCACGGGAACCUGACGUCGUAGAAGAACCAUUCUUUCAUCAGAUUUUAAGUGUUAAAUUUCUUUAUCAUUUUCAUGAAUAACUUUAGUAAUUUGCUUAUUAAUUAGCAACAAAAAAUGCUAUUUUGAGUUUCGAAGAUCUAAUUUUUGCCUGCGUUAGGGAUUUUGCACAUGAACCUGACAUUGUAGGAGAACUAUUCUUUUAGCAGAUUGUAGGCAUUGAAUUUCUUUAUCAUUUUCAUUAAUAACUUUGGGUAUUAGCUUAUUAAUUAGCCACAAAAAUUGCAUUUUUGUGUUUCAAAAUACUAAUUUUUGCCGGUUUUAAUAAUUUUGCACAUGAACCUGACAUCGUAGCAGAACCCCUCUUCCAUCAAAUUGUAGGGGUUUACGCUUGAGCCCGACAUCGUAGGAGAACCAUUCUUCAAUCAAA